UUUUAGCAGAGUAACUUUUAUUGCGUCACAGACUAGUAUAAUAUUUUGGCAGUCUGCAUUAUUUUACAUUCACAAAAUCACUGCAAGUUAUAAUUUCUCACUUUACUAAUACUCUCAACAUGUUUACGUUAUAAUAAGUCUCUCUGCGUUUUGUUCGUAAUGAUUUGUUACAUACUAGGGGUAGGAAAGUGAUUAUAUCCUUGAUAUAAUCACAAUUUGUUGCCGUGGAGUGAUCGAACUUAUAAACGAAAGAAUUAUUUAUCAUGAAAUAGGAAGCGCAAGAGGCUAGGUUUUGUAUUGGAACGGUACGUAAUAGGAAAGAAUUUGUGAAGAUAGCUAGGUAGUUAAUAAAGUUAGGAUGAGGAAAAUGAAAAUAAUUCAUUUAUUAAAUUUUACUUAAUAAGGAGGGGUUGUAGUAAUGUUAUGUAUUUCAUUACAGAAUUAUAAAAGAUUAGGGGUUGUAUAAGACUAAGCUCCUUGUGGAGUGAGAGGAAACAAUAAUAAUCAUCAUCAGGGGUUGGAUAUAAUGGAUUCUUAUUCAGGACAUUAUUUAUGAAAUUUAAUAAGUUACUUACCUUUAAAGAGAUUAACAUAAAACAUAAUUGUAUAAAGGCUGAUUUAUCUAUAGGUACGUCAUAUUAGUGUUGCUCUGAAUCACUAUGAACGGUCUCUCUGAUUAUGUAGCUGAUUAGGGAAUUUUAAGUGAAUAGGGGUUGUAGGUAAAAUAAUGAUAUGGUUUUAUUUUAGGUAAAAGCAGUAAAACAUUUAUUAAAAUCAAAAAUUAUAUUU